GUGCAGCAGCAGCUGUGUGUAUUUGUUAUCAGGACUUUAACUGGAGAUGAAGAUGUUGCUGCCACUCCUGCUCCUCGUACUCAACGACCAACUGGAGGUGACAAUGGGGAAAACAUCAGACUUCAUCAUCCUACCUUGCAAAACAAAACCUGAGCUGCCCGAGGACUCUAGAGUUGAGUGGACUCAUGCUGACCUAGUGGUCCAUGUGUAUUCAAACAGAAGUGAUGACCUUAAGAACCAGGACGACCUUUACUGUGAUCGCACGAAGAUGAACAAAGACCUGCUGAGAACUGGAGACCUCAGUCUGACCCUGAAAUACCCCACAGAGAGAGACAGUGGAGGAUACAUCUGCACCAUCUACAGGGACAAAGACAUCCUGAGACAGAAAGUAGUGCUGCAGGUCAAAGAACCGUUUCCAUCCUGGGCCACAGUUCUCCUGGUUCUCUUGGGCCUCCUGGUUCUUAUUGGGAUUUCUGGAGGUCUCAUAUAUUAUUUCCGGCACUAUUUCAUGUCAGUUUACAAGGUGAAGGUGGAUUCAGGGCUGGAGUCUGUCCUGUUGCCCUGCAAAGCCAGAGUUUGGCUGCCCAAACAUGCAAAAGUGGAGUGGAAGGACAAAUAUAACAGGAAGGUCCACGUGUGUAAGAACGGCUCUGACCAGCCUGAAGAACUGCACCCAGAUUUCAAAACCAGAACCAAGAUGAAGAAAAAUCUGCUGAAGCUUGGAGACUUCAGUCUGACCCUGAAAAACCCCACAUUCGCAAACACCUACACCUGCACCAUCUGUGA
ensembl:lncRNA